GAGCUCACAGAAAGAGUUUUCCUGGAGCCCCAUGGGGAGACUUUGGACAUGGAAUUUUGCACAACAGUUGAACUAGUGUAGCCCAGGCGGUCAGGAGGCCUCUAUUAGCCCCAAAAGCGACUCAGACACUUGAGAUGGAAAGACAUCUACCAGUAACUGGAAUGAACACUGAACCACACAGGGUGAAGACACAAAGAGAAGUAGUGGAAGGCCCCUUUCUCAAACCUGAGCCACACACAAGCUAGAAGGAGAAACGCUGUCAGCAUGAGCCAGAGCAGGACCAAGAGAGUGUGGGACAUUCUAUGACCUGAACUGAAGACCUGGCCAGCCUGGGACAUGGGUGAAGAGAGAGACCUCAGGUCUAUCCCAGGAAUCUCCAGAGGU